rnacentral:rRNA from 1 species
UACGUAGGGCGCAAGCGUUAUCCGGAAUUAUUGGGCGUAAAGAGCUCGUAGGCGGUUUGUCGCGUCUGCCGUGAAAGUCCGGGGCUCAACUCCGGAUCUGCGGUGGGUACGGGCAGACUAGAGUGAUGUAGGGGAGACUGGAAUUCCUGGUGUAGCGGUGAAAUGCGCAGAUAUCAGGAGGAACACCGAUGGCGAAGGCAGGUCGUCUGGGCCGACUACUGACGCUGAGGAGCGAAAGCGUGGGGAGCGAACAGG